GUCAUUGCUGUCUCCUAAGCAUGCCAUCUCCUGGUAAUCCUAGUUUUGAACCAUAGUUAUGUUUGCUGUGCUUGUCCUUUUGAGGAGGGAAGAGUUCGGGCUAGAUGGAGAUUCUUUUACAGGAUGAUCUCUUGCCACUCUAUCUUAUCUCAUGGUUCAAGUGACAGGACAGUGGUGAGCCAUAAUGAAGUGGUUGAUGAAUUACUUUGGUACCCAUGGGCUAUGAGGAGCCUGGGCCAGAUCACCAACUGGAUAACAAUGAAGGUGAUGGUGGUGGUGCUGGGGCCAUGGGCUAGCAAGGCAAGUCAGUGGUUCUGAACUUGUGUGGGACUUAGCAGGGUGGAGCUCUGCCUCUGCUCAAACCCAAACCUGUCCUCCUGCUGCCUAGAUCCACGAAACUGUGAUAGCAGGAGAUCAGGGAUGAGGAAUAUAAAAGGAAAGGAGCUAAUAUUUACUUAGAACCCCCUUAUUUGUUAGUCACGUUAACAGUUUUAAAAGUUAACUGAUCUGGUCUGUAAUAGCCCUUGGAAUAAGCAUUUUGUUUAUUUAAUAGUUAAAGACUUGAGGCUGAGGCAGAUUAAAUAACUCAUUCCAGGUCAACAGCAAGGAAGAGAUGGCCCAGAAGUUUGAAUUUAGACCUUUCUGGCUCUACAGACUGUCUUCCAAUACCGUAGUCCAGCCUCCAGAGGAAACCCUCUAGGGCCCAGGUGGGCUUAGCACUUGGACCUGGGAAACCCAUGCAGAGGACUAGCAUCAAUUGGGGAACACGGAGCCCACUGCUCUCUUACCUGUUUCCAACUAGCUGAGCAUCCAGACUGGAUAUAGCCCAAGGUGGAAAUACAUAGACUGAUGGAGAAGCAGACUUUGGGCACCAGACUGGCCUUCCCUGCCCUAUCCCGGCUGCUCGCUCUCCAAGACUAUCCUGACGUUGGGGUUCUUCCUGUAUACACCCAUAACCCAUUUGUGGAUAUACCUGUUUGGUGCCAGACACAUUGUUUUCUGCUUAUCUUCUCAGUUCUUCAGAAGGCUGUCAUAGGCAGUGUGCAGGCCUUUUGUCCUUAUAACCCUGAAGAUUGUUGGAGUACACUAAUGAUAGAUUUUUUUCUUCAUGAAUCUGAGGAGAAAUAAAUGGGCCUAUGUGGGUAACAAGCCUUCAGUUGCUGAACAAUUUGGUGAAAAAAUUAUAUUAAUAUGGCUAUGAUUAUAUGCACACUGGAUAAAACCCAAUAAAGAUUUGGGAUAAGCCUCA